rnacentral:rRNA from 1 species
GUAGGUGGCAAGCGUUGUCCGGAAUUAUUGGGCGUAAAGCGCGCGCAGGUGGGUUCUUUAAGUCUGAUGUGAAAGCCCCCGGGCUCAACCGGGGAGGGUCAUUGGAAACUGGGGAACUUGAGUGCAGGAGAGGAAAGUGGAAUUCCACGUGUAGCGGUGAAAUGCGUAGAUAUGUGGAGGAACACCAGUGGCGAAGGCGACUUUCUGGCCUGUAACUGACACUGAGGCGCGAAAGCGUGGGGAGCAAACAGGAUUAGAUACCCUGGUAGUCCACGCCGUAAACGAUGAGUGCUAAGUGUUGGGGGGUUUCCACCCCUCAGUGCUGCAGCUAACGCAUUAAGCACUCCGCCUGGGGAGUACGGUCGCAAGACUG